AUGAUCUGAAGUCAGGUGGGAUUACCCGCUGAACUUAAGCAUAUCAAGAAGC
rnacentral:rRNA from 1 species